rnacentral:sRNA from 1 species
AAACUACAAGGGGAGCCGAAGCUCCCCAAGAAGUAGUUGCAUGCUCUAUUUUUAUUAUUGGUUUCGGGCUUUUUGUUUUUGUUAAGUGCCCUCGCCAUGAAGAUUUUCCUUCAUGACCCUCCCAAUCGGGAGCCAAGAGCAAACGGAUUGCUUUGGUCGCUGUGCUGCAGUGAUCUUGCGAUCCAACCAAUUCAGGCACUGUCUGAGUGACAGUU